rnacentral:rRNA from 1 species
UUUUAGAAUUUAAUUUAAAGUAGGGCCUGCCCACUGAAUUUUUGAAGGGCCGCAGUAUUUUGACUGUGCAAAGGUAGCAUAAUCAUUAGUUUUUUAAUUGAAAGCUUGUAUGAAUGGUUUGAUGAGAAGAUAGCUUUCUAUAAAUAAUUGUAUAAAAAUUUUAUUUUUAAGUUAAAAAGCUUAAAUUUUGAUAAAAGACGAGAAGACCCUAUAGAGUUUAAUUUACAACAUAAAUUUAGUUUUUAGAAUUUUAAUAAUUUAGUUUUUGGAGUAAAUUUCAUUGGGGUGAUGGAAAAAUAAGAUUAACUUUUUUUAUUAAAUUACAUUAAUUUAUGAAUAUUUGAUCCAUAAAAAUGAUUAAAAGAAUAAAUUACCUUAGGGAUAACAGCGUAAUUUUUUUUAGAGUUCUUAUCGAAAAAAGAGAUUGCGACCUCGAUGUUGGAUUAAAGUUAAAAUUAGGUGUAGAAGCUUAGUUAUUUGGUCUGUUCGACCAUUUAAACUUUACA